rnacentral:tRNA from 1 species
CUGGGCGAUCGACUAAUGGUAGGUCAAGUGCCUUUGGAGCACUUUGUCUAGGUUCGAAUCCUAGUCGCCCAGCCAG